rnacentral:rRNA from 1 species
GACGAACGCUGGCGGCGUGCUUAACACAUGCAAGUCGGGCGGUAAGGCCCUUUCGGGGGUACACGAGCGGCGAACGGGUGAGUAACACGUGGGUGACCUGCCCUCAGCUCUGGGAUAAGCCUGGGAAACUGGGUCUAAUACUGGAUAUGACUCCACGGUGCAUGUCGUGGGGUGGAAAGCCUUGUGCGGCUGAGGAUGGGCCCGCGGCCUAUCAGCUUGUUGGUGGGGUGAUGGCCUACCAAGGCGACGACGGGGUAGCCGGCCUGAGAGGGCGACCGGCCACACUGGGACUGAGACACGGCCCAGACUCCUACGGGAGGCAGCAGUGGGGAAUCUUGCGCAAUGGGCGAAAGCCUGACGCAGCGACG